CGCGACAUAGCCAAGUGGUAAGGCAGGGAAUUGUAAAUCCUUUACCUCGGUUCGAAUCCGAGUGUCGCCA
rfam:Picea glauca, whole genome shotgun sequence.